GUGCCAGCCGCCGCGGUAAUACGUAGGUGGCAAGCGUUGUCCGGAAUUAUUGGGCGUAAAGGGCGUGUAGGUGGAUUCUUAAGUCGUGUGUCUAAGUGCGUGGCUCAACCCCGUAUAGGCGCAGGAUACUGGGGAUCUUGAGUGCAGGAGAGGAAAGUGGAAUUCCCAGUGUAGCGGUGAAAUGCGUAGAUAUUGGGAGGAACACCAGUUGCGGAGGCGGCUUUCUGGACUGUGUCUGACACUGAGGCGCGAAGU
rnacentral:rRNA from 1 species